CUUUUUAUUGGCACACCUCAGUAAAAAGAUACAAAAGAAAAAAGGCUUUAAGAGGCUUUCAAUACCUUAAGUGCGCACACUGUCUAUUUGUAUCGGAGUAAAUGAGAUAGCACUGUCGCAUGUUACUGGGCCUGGGCAUGGGAAUAUUAAGAAAA